CCAGUGGAUGAUGAUGAUUUGAUCACCUACAUCAUGACUGGUUUACCAUCGGGAGAAUAUGAGUCUGUUAGAACUGCAUUGAACACUAGGGUCAAUCCCAUUAAUAUGGACGACUUGCUUGCUAUGUUGCUUAUUCAUG